CUAACAGCAGUUUAUUGAGCAAACUUCA
rnacentral:misc_RNA from 1 species